UGGCCUUGUUUAUAUCUAAUUUUUUUUUGGAUUUUAACACUGUAGUAUUUUUAUUUUUAUUUGACAAACAUUAUCCAAUCAUAAAGUAACUAGGCUUAAAAGAUCUGUCUCGUGAUUUACAGGUAAAUUAUACAAUUAGUUAUCUUUUUUAUCUAUAUUUAAUGUUCUAUGCAUAUACCAGAAGAUUCGAUCUGACGGAAAAUCUUAUAAAGUUUUGGAUUUUUUGGUGCAUCUAAACAAGCCGUGAGAACUUUGAGAGUCGUUUCGCAACAUGCAUCUCUACCGCUUUCUCUGUUUGACAUGGGCCUAAAGACUAGUAGUGUAAUUGUGAAAAUACUGUUUGCUG
rnacentral:lncRNA from 1 species